GGUGACUCUUCAGCAACGUGGAAGGAGACAGGGAAGAUCCUGGUCCUGCAAGAGGAAGCCUGGACACAAGGUGUGCAUGGGCCCCGAGCAGUCCACCAACACACGCUGUGGCGUGUAUCAGCACUUCCUUCCUUUACAUGGACAAAUGCGAUCCCAUCAUAUGGACACACACACUCCGUUUAUCCAUUCACCAGUUGAUGGACAUUGGCAUCGUUUCCAUCUUUUAAAAAGAACAUAUAGUUGUACAUAUUUAUGGGGUAUAGUGUGAUGUGUCCACACAUGUAUAGCUUGUGUAAGGAUCAAAUCAGGGUAAUUAGCAAAUUCAUCACCUCCAAUAUUUGUCAUGUCUUUGCGGUGAGCACAUUCGAAGUCCUCUCUUCUAGGUAUUUUGAAAUAUUCCGUACAUUAGUAUUAACAAUAGCCACUCUUCUGUGCCAGAGAAGAACAGAAUGUUUUCCUCCCAUCUAAUUGUAUGUUGUUUUCAUCAUGGUGUCCACCGUGAGGCCUUGGCCUUUGGCGUACCAGUCACUGAGUGCUCAGUGGGUGACUCCAGCCCAUCUCAACAACGUUGGUGACAGUGUCAGCUCUCAAGGGCAGGAUUCAGUCAUCCAACCCACUUUGCACCUCCAAGCAUCGAUGACAGGUGGAGGGGAAUGGCUGGAGCCAGGAAGAGCUGCCUGAGAGCCACAGGCAAAGGUGGGAGGCGAAAGGAAGACAGAGCAUGGAUGCUCAGGCCCAGAAGUUGGAGGAAACACCCACCUGGGCACGUGAGACCCCCAUCAAAGCAGCCUAGCAAGACAAGAUGAUCCCAGAACAAGGGAGGGCCCUUGGGUUCACCCUAACUGUGUGCAUUUGACAGUGGCAGUGUCUUCCCACCUGUGAAAGUAAGGGGUAGGGGUUAGACAGUUCUUCCAGCUCCGGUGUUGGUUUCUGUAAAGAACCUUCUGGUCCCGAGGCUGGGGUGGGGGUGGAGGUGUGGGUGUGGGGACAG
rnacentral:lncRNA from 10 species